CCAGAGCUCUACCCCCAGUGUUCCCACACACCCUGUUAGAUGAGGGGUGGCUGUUGCUGUGCCUGGUCCUCACAGGGCUCCCCAGACAAUGCAGAGCAAAGGCACAGAUGCCACCUGAGGGGCAGUGUUAUCUCAGGACAGGGAACCAGAUCACCUGAGUGUAACUAAGAGCAGUUUCCUUCCUAGGACAGGGCAUGGGGAACAGCAGACGGAAGGGUUGUACCAGCACUGGCAGGUGCAGUGCGGGCACAGGAGAAACAAGAGGAAGGCUGGAGACUGCAGAAGGCCCAGAGCGGGGAGGAACAGCUCAGGUGAAGCUGAUGUCGUGGAUGAGUGAGGAAAAUCGCAGGCAGCACUCCCGCAGCAGUGGAGCAGCACGCUUCUUUAAAAGGCAAAUUCAAGCGUCUCCUCCUUAGUAGAAUAAAGACCUGAGUUCGGUAGCAGAGGACUUUUUUUUCAAAAGGCACUACAAAGGGCUGGCAAGCAAGCUGCAAAGGGCUCACCAUCAACAUCCCAGGCUGUGCUUCCCUUAAGACUGAGAGCAAUCACCACUCCCUUUUGCAAGUGUGCCAUUUGGCGCUUUGGUUUGGAUGACCAAACAUCAUCAUA